GACGAACGCUGGCGGCGCGCCUAACACAUGCAAGUCGAGCGGAUGACGGGAGCUUGCUCCUUGAUUCAGCGGCGGACGGGUGAGUAAUGCCUAGGAAUCUGCCUGGUAGUGGGGGGCAACGUUUCGAAAGGAACGCUAAUACCGCAUACGUCCUACGGGAGAAAGCAGGGGACCUUCGGGCCUUGCGCUAUCAGAUGAGCCUAGGUCGGAUUAGCUAGUUGGUGGGGUAAUGGCUCACCAAGGCGACGAUCCGUAACUGGUCUGAGAGGAUGAUCAGUCACACUGGAACUGAGACACGGUCCAGACUCCUACGGGAGGCAGCAGUGGGGAAUAUUGGACAAUGGGCGAAAGCCUGAUCCAGCUAUGCCGCGUGUGUGAAGAAGGUCUUCGGAUUGUAAAGCACUUUAAGUUGGGAGGAAGGGCAGUAAGCUAAUACCUUGCUGUUUUGACGUUACCGACAGAAUAAGCACCGGCUAACUCUGUGCCAGCCGCCGCAGUAAGAC
rnacentral:rRNA from 1 species